rnacentral:rRNA from 1 species
GAUGAACGCUGGCGGCGUGCUUAACACAUGCAAGUCGAACGAAGCGCUUGGAUGGAAUUCUUCGGAAGGAAGCUCAAGUGACUGAGUGGCGGACGGGUGAGUAACGCGUGGGUAACCUGCCUCAUACAGGGGGAUAACAGUUAGAAAUGACUGCUAAUACCGCAUAAGCACACGUGAUCGCAUGAUCGAGUGUGAAAAACUCCGGUGGUAUGAGAUGGACCCGCGUCUGAUUAGCUAGUUGGUGGGGUAACGGCCCACCAAGGCGACGAUCAGUAGCCGGCCUGAGAGGGUGAACGGCCACAUUGGGACUGAGACACGGCCCAAACUCCUACGGGAGGCAGCAGUGGGGAAUAUUGCACAAUGGGGGAAACCCUGAUGCAGCGACGCCGCGUGAAGGAUGAAGUAUUUCGGUAUGUAAACUUCUAUCAGCAGGGAAGAAAAUGACGGUAC